AUUCAUUAAUUUUUAUUUAAAUAUUUUCCUUUGUUGGGUAUACCUGGAGUGUCCUUUGUAGAGCCCCCGAUUAGGCUCUGUCAGUGUGAUAAAACAAAUAGUUUUAACUAGAAAAGGGAAAGCAUGGGUCCACAUUCUGUUAUAAAUGGAUGGUACUUUAAUUCAUUUCCCCACCUCCCUAAACAUGGACCAAAGUGGACUAGAUUAUUUUGCAAGCUGGGUAGAAAUUCAUGCCUAAGGUCAUGCCCUUUCAUGUUUACCAGUGAAUUAUCUUUCUCCAAUUUUCUAUUGUGCAUCUGGGAAAAUUAUGCUUACAUAUCCAAUGUAAAGAAAACAUUGAGUUUAUAUAGAUUUGAAACCAAGGGGGUUUAGUAUAUAGUAAACAUAAGAAUAAAUCUUACCAGUUUUGAUUCUCAUUAGUUAAGGCUUUGUGGCAACUGUGUCCUGUUUGAUUUUAUAUUUCUAUAAGUGUGAAGAAAGGUUUCUUGUACCAUGGUAGACAAAAUUGCUUUGAAAUUAUUUUAAGCCUGAUGAAAGUUGUAGGGUCUGCUCUGCAAGCAGAAUAUACUGAAAAUUUGCUAUUAAAUUGUGAAUGUUGUGGUUUGCUCUAGCAGCCUAUUUAGUAGCAUUGUAGUAAUCAUGUAGAUUAUAUUCAGAACUCAGGUAAGAGGAAUUGUAGAGAAAAUUGUUUUGGGGGCGGGGGAAAUGGGGAGAUUGGGGAAUGGCAACUAGAGAGAGGUGUCAUAGUUCAUUUAAAAUCAUGUUCUUAUAAGUUGUUUUACUUAGGCCUAAAAGAAUAGAGGGCAUGUGCCAGGGAAUUGAAUACCCUUGUAUAUGUAGUGCCAUUUCCUUGCUCUCCCUUUAAUUGCUAUUUCCGGUUUGUUUCUCAGGUACUUACAAGAGAUGUAUCCUGGGAAGAAACAGGGUGGCAGAGUUUAGGGCCUUUGGGACUGAAUUAGUCUUAAACCUGAGAACCCAGGAGGAUUUUGACCGAACUGAUUUGGGUAUCUCCAUACAGCCAAGAAUAAAGAAAGAAAGGGAUAGAUGGAAUGAGUUUCAUCGUGAUUCUAAGUAUCCAGGAAUAAUUUAAAAUUAUUUAUCACUGUGGAUUUAAGCAUCUGGAUUUAUUUAUUUUACAAAUACUUAACAUUUUGUUGUUUUGCUCUCUAUCUUGCUAAUCCCUUUUUUAAAAGGGCUACUUGGAUGAAGGUAUAAAAACCAGUAACUUAUGAAACCCUCGGUUGGUAUCAGUGAAUUCGCUUAUUACUCAAUGUUUGCUUGUUUGACUUCAAAAAGAAAACAAUUUACCACCUGUGUCAGUCUGACACCUGCUCUUUUCAAACCCUUUUGACAUGAUCUAAAUAAAUCUCUGAAAUCCCCCCCCCCCCUUUGUGUCUAUUGUCAGUAUUAGUUUCACCUAAAUUCAGGGCCUGUCAUCCUGUGUAACAGUUGAGGCUAAAUGAGGACAUUAAUUGGUGGAAAUGUGUUGCUUCAAAGGCAUUUUUAGGAAUAAAACUACAAAGAGCUUCAUAGUUGUAAUAUAGCUGAUUCGUCUUCAAAAAGUAUUCUGUUGUUUUCUUGAUAGUUUUAGGUUUUUAUAAGUAAGUUAUUAAGAAGUGAAUGUUUGUCUGAAAUACGUUGUUUUAAGUGAAAGGUGUUAUUUGUGUUCUGGGAGUAAGCUCUAGAAUCUCAAUGUCAGGUUAGUAUUUAAGUGGAGGUAGAGCUACUAGUUUUUGUUUAAAAUGUUUUUAUGAUACAGAAUUAUUCAGGAACUUGUGUAUUGAUCUGUUUGCCAGCAAUGCCAAUUCCCUCAAAAUUCAUAGUUUUCAAUUUUUGUUUUCUUCCCACUGUAAGUACCUUUGAGGACUCUCACCCAGUUAACAUUUGUUGUGUUCAAAUUGCAUGGUUCUCAACUUUUGCUAUACACUAGAAUCACCUGGGUAAUUUUUUAGAAGUCCUGUGGUUGUACCACAGAUGAGAAAAAAUACACCCUCUGGGAUGGGAUCCAAGCAUCUGUAUGUUUAAAAUUCACCAGGAGAUUCCAUGAUGUAGCCAGAGUCAUAAAUCACUGGUCUAGGAUGUUUUUCAGAUUAGGGACCAUUUAAAGAAAAGCUGUAGAUUUUCCUUCCAGAAACAUGGGUAUUAAUGAUUCCCUAAAGCCCCAAAUUAAGAACCCCUGUUCUAGGAGUAGCCUCAACAUGCUAGAUUUAAUUGUAAGCAGCUGGUUUAAGAAAUUAUGUAAGUUGCAAUGAUGAAUAUUCCUCGUCACUCACAAAUGUUAUUCAUCAAUUUAAAAAUUAAUAUGUAUCAAGUACUCAGUGUGUUCCAGGCAUGAUUUUAGUUACAAGGAGUACAGCAGCCAAUAAGAUAUUACAGUUUUCAGGGAGUUUUAUCCUACUAGGGAAGACAGAUAA